rnacentral:rRNA from 1 species
UACGUAGGGGGCAAGCGUUUGUCCGGAAUCAUUGGGCGUAAAGCGCGUGUAGGCGGUUCAGUAAGUCUGCUGUGAAAGUCCAGGGCUCAACCCUGGGAUGCCGGUGGAUACUGCUGAACUAGAGUGCGGAAGAGGCGAGUGGAAUUCCCGGUGUAGCGGUGAAAUGCGCAGAUAUCGGGAGGAACACCAAUUGCGAAGGCAGCUCGCUGGGACGUUACUGACGCUGAGACGCGAAAGCGUGGGGAGCAAACAGG